GCCCUACUCACUGAGCCACAGGUGCUGUCCCCAUCACAGUUUUAUACAUAACUGCCUUGUAUAUUCCCUGUGUUCCAUCAAAUUAUCACUCCUCUCUCUAUUUCUCCUUACCCGUUAUUCCCCAGCAACAACUGAUAAUUUCACUUCCUCGGAGUUUUCCUUUUUCAGAAUAUCCUAGACUUAGAAUCACACCAUAGCUAGUCAUUUCAGACUUGAUUCCUUCAUAUAGAAAUAGGUGUUUAGGUCUCUCCAUAACUUUGUGGCUUUAUAGAUCACUUCUCUUUAUCAGUGAAUAAUAUUCCAUCAUAUAGGUGUAUCCCAGUUGUGUAUUCAUUCACCUAAUGAAAGGGUCAUCUUGUUCCUGCUACAGUUGGUUUCACCUGUAGUCCCAACAGCCACCCACUUUGGUGGCUAAGAUAUAAGGAUUGCUCAAGGUCAGGAGUUCCACACCAGUCUGAGUGUUAUAAGGCAAGUCCACAUCUUUUAAAAAAUAAAGAUUAGCUGGGUGCAGUGGCUCACACCUGCAAUUCUAGCACACUGGGAGGCUGCAGUGGGAGGAUCCCUUGACCUCAAGAGUUGGAGACCAGCCUGAGCAAGAGUGAGACCCCAUCUCUACUAAAAAUAGAAAAACUAGAUGCGUAUUGUGGGAGGCACUUAUAGUCCCAGCUACUUGGGAGACUGAGGCAGGAGGGUCACUUGAACCUAGGAGUUUGAGAUUGCUGUGAGCUAGGUUGACACCUCGGUACUAUAGCCUGGGUAGCAGAGUAAGACUUAGACUGAAAAAAAAAAAAAAGAAAAAAGAUAGGCUUAUCUUGGUUGCUUUUACUUUUUGGCAGUUAUACAAAAGACUGUUGAAAGUGUUCGUGUGAAGUCUUUUGUGGGGAUGUCAAUUUAAAAUUUAAUCUGUUAAUACCUAGACCUACAACUGCUGAAUCAUAGAGUAAGAUCAUGCUUACCUUCUUUUAUUUUAUUUAUUUAUUUAUUUUUUGUAGAGACAGAGUCUCACUGUAUGGCCCUCAGUAGAGUACCAUGGCAUCACACAGCUCACAGCAACCUCCAACUCCUGGGCUUAGGCGAUUCUCUUGCUUCAGCCUCCUGAGUAGCUGGGACCACAGGCGCCUGCCACUAUGUGCAGCUAUUUUUUUUUGUUGCAGUUUGGCCGGGGCCAGGUUUGAACCCACCACCCUCGGUAUAUGGGGCUGGCACCCUAUUCACUGAGCCACAGGUGCCACCCAGUUUUAAAUGGUUUUCUUUUUGAAGUUUAGAAAUUCUUUGUAUGGGCAUUGUCAGUAGCUCAGUGAGUAGGGUACCGGCCACAUACACUGAGGCUGGCAGGUUUGAACCCAGCCCAGGCCAGCUAAAAAACAAUGACACCUGCAACAAAGAAUAGUCGGGUGUUGUCGUGGGCACCUGUAGUCUCAGCUACUGGGAGACUGAGGCAAGAGAAUCACUUUAAGCCGGAGAGUUUGAGGUUGCUGUGAGAUGUGAUGCAACAGCACUCUACUGAUGGCACCAUAGUGAAACUCUGUCUCAAAAUAAAAAAAAAAAAAAGAAAAGUUCUUUUUAUGUUUUGGGUAGCAGCCUUUUAUCAGAUAGUUGUUUUGCAAUUUUUUUUUUUUUUUAGACAGAGUCUAAAGCUGUUGUCCUAGGUAGAGUGCUUAAGCAAUUCUCUUGCCUCUGCCACCCAUUAGCUGGGACUACAGGCACCCACCACAACACCUGGCUAUUUUUUGUUGCAGUUGACAUUGUUUUUUCGCUGGCCCUCACUGGGUUUGAACCCUCCAGCCUUUGUGUAUGUGGCCAGUGCCCUACCCACUGAGCUACAGGUGAUUUUCUCAUUCACACACAGAUCUUGCUUUUGGAGUUGGUUGUGAAACCUUGCCAAAUCCAAGACCGUCUUUUGGGGGUUUUGUUGUUUUUGUUGUUGUUGAGACAAAGUUUUUGUUGUUGUUAAACAAAGUCUCACUUUGCUCUGGGUAGAGUACUGUUUCCCUCAAAAAUGUCUCCUCAUGGGUUUCUAUUCCACCAAGAUAUAACUACCUUAUUAGUUGGGCUUGUGAGGCCCAGUCCAAAAACCAUCAUUUUCAAAUAGCAUUUUCAGAGAUGCAAUGUCUCAGGAUUACUAAUGCUAACUUUUUUCUCCACACUAAGAAUAGGAUUUUGUUAUGACAGAUGGUACAGAUCCACUUUAGAGGGAGAUGUUAGUGACCUAAUGGGGUGCCCUAGACAACACAUCUUUCUUCCUGGAUUCACCAACAAAACACAUUUUUUUAUUCUGCUAUUGCUUUACUGAGUGUUCCAUUCUAGCAUCAGAAAUGCUGUGUGGGAGGAAGUGAAUAUGAACAUAAAAGUAAGACUGAUGACCAAGGCAUGGAAUAAAUGUUGGGAGUCCACAGCAUCAUGUGAACUUCUACAAAAUAGAGUAUAGGUCCCCAAGGUUGUGAGUCUCACUCAUUCUCCUUAGCACAUGUGGGAUGUUUCAGGAUUCAGUGACCUUUGAGGAUGUGGCUGUGAACUUCACCCUGGAGGAGUGGGCUUUGCUGGAUCCUUCCCAGAAGAGUCUCUACAGAGAUGUGCUGCAGGAAACCUUUAGAAACCUGGACACUAUAGGAGAAAAAUGGAAAGACCAGAGCUUUGAAGACUACUGUAAAAAUCCCAGGAGAAAUCUAAGAAAUCUUAUGGGAGAGACACUCUUUGAAAGUAAAGAAACUAAUCAGUUUGGAAGAACCUUUAGUCAAAUUCCAGAUCACAUGGUGAGCAAGAAAACUUCUCCUGGAAUAAACCCAUGUGAAAGCAGUGUGUGUGGAAAAGUCUCCAUUGAUCAUUCAUCAUUUAGUAUGCCCAUUAAAGCUGACCGUGGACAGAAAGCACCUGAGUAUAAGGAAUGUAGGCAAAAGCCAUAUACACAUAAGAAAUGUGAGAAAACCUUCAGUUACUCCCACUCCUUUGGAACACAUGAAAGGUCUUCCACUGGAAAGAAACUCUUUAAUUGUAAAGAAUGUGGAAAACCAGGCAGUGCCUGUGGCUCAAGGAGUAGGGCGCCAGUCCCAUAUGCCGGAGGUGGCGGGUUCAAACCCAGCCCUGGCCAAAAAAAAAAACCACAAAAAAAAAAAAAAAGAA